ACAUUCUCCAUCGGUAUCAAUAAGAGCGUCGAAAGAUAAAAGUAUAAGUUAAGGAUUCUUGUAAGUUCAAACAGUUUAGGGUAGUUGUUGAAGCAUUAUUUAAAACUUUUAAAUUAUUGUGACAUUGAAAUACGAAAACUUGAGGAUAUGUGAGAUCAGAGGUCACCACUACUUAACAACUAGCAAAAUGACCAGCUUUAAUAGCCCAUCUAUCAGGAAUUAUCAUCAUCUUUAUUGCCGAUACUGGACUUCUUAUGAUCAAAUGGUUAGUUGGUGUUGUUACAACAAAAUGAUAACUAUGAACUUUUACCCAAUUCCAAGAAAACAUAAUCUAUGCAGUUGUUCAUUCAAAGAUAGUAAGCACUUUGAUGAGUUUAAGAAUAAGUGUGAACUUAAACACCAAGAAACUAAGUGUUGUUGUGUUAGAUCAUCUCCAAUUAAUUAUAAUUACCCAAGCAAGUAUGGAACUUGCGUGAAUUCAUGUAGUGCUUCUAGUGAUUCAGAAGAUUCUCAGACACUUCUUAUGAAAGAUCUCUUAGAAAAACAUGGAAACUCAACAGACAAUUCAAGUGAAGAUGAGUUAGAGAUGGAGAUCACUGAAGACAUGAUGGCUUUCUUUGAACAUUCUGCCAGACAUAAAGCAGAACUUGGUUUCUCUAUGUAAAACUCACUUUCUUUAUACAGCAUUGAAAAAAGAUAGGCAGGGCAUGGAAGAAGAGUACUGCGUGAACCUAGAAAAUUUGUCAGUGGCUGGUCCUCUUCAACGGAGCACACUUCCACCUGCUCUUCAGCCCAACAGCAAAAGAAUUGAGGAAAUGACAGAACUUUAUGGAAAAGCAGCACAAACUAUUUAUGGGAUGGAAACUUCCUUGCAGUUAACCUUUGAUAAGUUCUGUGACUUAAAGCAACCAAAACUUUGGCCAAAUAUACCUUUUAAAUUUUAAGCUUGUCUUUUUUUUUGUGAAUAAAAAGUAAACUAAAAAAUAUAAACAGCAUUUUGCUUUCUAAAAAAC